rnacentral:lncRNA from 1 species
AUGAGGAAACACCGGUCAUGCGUGCUGCCAGCAGCGUCCGUGAUGAUGGAACAAAUGAUCCACCCUCAUCCUUGGGCCUCAGCCUCACCUUAUCUCCUGGCAGGACUGUUUUCUAGAGCACAGGCAGAACCAGCCUUUGACUUCUUGAGGCUUUGCAAACACCCACUAGAUGAGCUCUGCCAUGGCAGCUGGUCCAAGGGUAACACAGUGGGCAGCUGGACGGGGCUACAAGGGAGUUGUGGAUUGGACGAAUAUCUCAAUUUCUUGGCAGAUGACAGACUGUUUGUCAUCCACGCCACAAUCAAGAACUGACCUUCAGCAGCAUAACUACUAUUAUCCGGUCGUUUUUCUCCUCUCUCCUCCCUUCAUCCAUACAUUUCUAUUGCCUCUCUUACCAUUUUAUCUUUCUAAUUGUACCUCCUUUUACUUCUCCUUCACAGUUUUUCUGUCCGGCCUUUGUCAUUGAUCACUGAUGCGACUGGCUGCCUCCAUGCUCAGUAAUGACCUGCACUGGUAACCAGCAGGCUGCUCCUUUUGGCCCCCUCGUAGAUUGAACUGUCAGAUGGCAGCGAUUAAUGGCUGGUCAGAGACACGGACUCACACCUGCAAUAUCCAACAGUGCGCUGUCCAUCCCAUCCCAGUAUUUGCACACGUUGACAGAUGUCUCUACACUUGGGAAUGCUAAUUAAGGGUUUCUUGUAAUGAUAAGACAGUUCUAUUCUAUACAGAACAAUGCAGAAGAACAGGAAUAUACUGUAACUCAGUCCUUAAUGAAUGUGAACUUUUACUAAAAUAGAAAACAUAUCCAUUCACAUUCUGCAACUAUGUCAACAGAAAAUAUUUAAAAUGUUUUAUCAGGUUGCCUUCUCUACUUUUUACAUCUGGAAUGAUUCAUUUAGUGUGCUGUUCACAGCUGAGCCACUAUACUCAAAAGAAUCACAAUAAAUGUCUGAGAUAUAAUUAAGUGAGUGGAGUGUUUGGUCUGGUUUGUCUGCUGAGAUGUGUGCAGUUGGUCCAUGUGGCCAUCCCAUGUUGUGCUUGGCUGGUAGUUUGCUAACUGUCAACGCAGUAUCUCCUAACACUGAUGAGCAGAAAUUUUCCAAACGAUUCCCAAAGCUUUCAUUCCUUUGUUUUAAUGCUCAUCCAAAAGAAACGGCCAAGAAAACUGUGGUUUCUCCCCUGCUUAGCAUUCCUGAAAAGAUAAAGAGCACAGAGGGCCAAAUUUCCAGUGAGUUCUUGAGGUACAACUAACCUUUUUAGUAGCUGCUUUUAGUUCCAAAAACAUCAAAUUGCUGUAUUUGACCAACAGCUGCAUCAGGAACCAACUAUUUCAUUAGAGGAAAUCUUUGGAUUGGGACCAAAAGGAUAUACAGUACAACUUCCCUAGUUUU